CCAAUCCGGGGAAAAUGUCGUUCCAGGAUUCCACGUAUCUCAGGAGCAUCAAAGGAGCUCAGGCUUUUAUCAAAAUGGACCCCAACCUGCUACGAUUUCCGGAGGUCGUACUAGAAAGGAUCCAGAUAAAGAUAGAAGAGGACCUGUCACCUUCCAUCAAUACAGACGUUCCAACAGGAGAAGAUGAG